AUAACAAACACUUUAAAGUCCUAUUUAUAAUUAUGUCUUUGAGCCCUAGAAAAUCUAGGAGUUCAAAUAAAAGAAGUAAACAAAUAAAUAAAAUACCAAAAGAGUCCUUAAACGUUAAAACCCUGAUAAAACAUUGUAAAGGUGAAAUUUGGUUGAAAAUUCCAGAAGUCACGGUUAUGUCGAUGUUAUCUUCAAAACGGUGGAUCAUGAGCUCUAAUCUGCAAAGCUUUAUUAUUGCUACCCAUUUCAACUUAAAUCUUCAAUACGCCAGAAACAUUCCUCUGUGAUGUAUCUCAUUUCAUGUCACUUCUGUAAUUCAUUUCGUCUGCCUCCAGAAUCCCGAGCAAUAUUUGUGAAUUAUCAUCGCACAAUAUAUAUAUAUCAUUCGCCGACUCCUAUCCCUACCGUGGAGAGAGUGAGAUCAUUUUUCCUAUCAUUCAUUACCUUAAUUUAAGAGGGAAUGAGGGAUGGUGCUAUACUUGUCAAAAUCAAACAAAUAAACCGUAAAGAGACUAUUAAGGGCAAGUACCAUGCAUGUCGUAAUUAAGGAGAACACUAGGGAAUCAAAGAAUGAAUUCUAAAUCUAAUUUAUCGGCGACAAAUAUAUUCAAGGCAGAAAUAUUAAAUUAAUUCACAAAAACAAUGAUGACCGUCAAUUCCAUUUUCUUCCAUAAUCUAGUUCAUUACAAAACUCAUUAAACCAAAAGCCACGAGGGUCAUUCGAACUUAGAAUGAGAAAGUUUAUUUAAAACCAUGUAACAUCUUUCUACACCCAACUUAAAUUUUAAAACUAAUAAUAAAACUAAAAUUUAUCAAUAAACCACACACUAUGAUUAAACCCUACCAUGACUCCUUGUAUAUUUAUGUUCAUUCUGGUUAAAACCCUAAUAGCUUUAUAGAGAAAAACAAGUUUUACUAUCGAUGGAUACUUAUUUUGAAGUUUUAGAUCUUGCAACUAGGUAUGACUUGACUUAAGAAAAUAUGCAAAAAUGUAAGUGUAUCGAAGAGUUCAUAACAAAAUAUUUUCUUAUACGAGAUACUUACCCUAAAUUGGUGAUGUAAAAUCUCAAGAAAUAAAGCUAAUUCAUUUUAAUUUCAAAUGAGUAUUAAAAUGUAUAAAGAUUUUUUACAAAAUUUAAUUCAUGGACACCAUAUAAUUAUAAAAUAAAUAAAUAACAAAAUAUGUAAACAAAAAAAAAAAAAAAAAAAACCAUUGAUUGCGUAUGGUGACAUUAAUUAAAAGAUUUUAUGGAGUAAAAUAAAUUAAUUUUUAAUCUUGUAUAAGACAUAUUUUAAAAUUUUAUUUUAUUUAAGGAUUAAAAUCUAGUUUUCUGUUAAAUUAAUCCACAAAAACACUGAUGACCGUCAUUUUCAUUUCCCCCCAUAAGCUAGGUUAUUAGAAAACUUAUUCAAGCAAAAGCCAUCCCAUAAACCGGGGGCCAUUAGAAAUUAACAUUAACCUUAGUAGCAGCACCGAUGUAAUAUGUGAUGGAUAUGUCUUGCUUAAUUAAUCCCUAGCCAGACCAGACAAGUUUGCAUCCCCUAAGGCUAAGACUAAGACGGGCUGGAAACACUCGAUGCGUGCGGUACACUAAAAAGGGCCCAUUUGGCCUUGCGAGGGGAUCAACAAUUCUCCGUCUUGAUUACCAACACUUCUCUAGUAUUCGUCCUUUCCUCCACCACGACCACUUUUACCGUCAAUACAAUCGCCCGCCACCCCUACCAAGAGCUUCUGUCAACCCGAAAGAGUCUUUCUCUAUCCGCACGGAAGGAGGCUGUUAAGGAUAAAGAAGGUCCACCAGAUUAAAUCUUAACUUAGCUAUUAAAAUAAGAUUGUUAGCUUAGCCAUUAAGAUAAGGUUGUUAGGAAAUGGAGUUAGUUGACAGCCAUUAAGAUAAGGCUGUUAAGGAUAAAGGUCCAUCAGAUAGUUUGCAGCAUCACUCUGUAGAAUCAGUUUGCGGCAUCACUUUGCAGAAUCAGUUUCCUACAUGCCAUGUUGACUUCAAGUACCAUAUCAAUUGAGCAUAAUUUAUGGAUUUUUUCAGAUUAGAGAAACUUACUAGAGGAAGGACGUCAAGCCGAAAGAAUGCAACCUGGACAACAAGAGAGAUCGCUGGGUUCUAGUGUGCGUUGGGUUUUGGUAUGGACUGGGUUAUAAGAAAAGUCACUUUUCUGAUAGCGUGAGAAAUGGGUUCUGGGAAAAGUCACUUUUCUGAUAAAAGAGGGUAGGACUGGAAAAUUGAAAGUUUAUUAAAAGGGUCAAAUAUUUUUUUAUUAAAGGGGUCAAAUAUUUUUUUAAAGGGAUAACUUAUAAAUCUAUUGGGCUCAAGGGAGCCCAAUGCCUCUGCACUGGUUCCGCCAUUGGCCACCACACCAAUAUAUAGCACACAAAAACCAGCAGUGCAAACCUACCACAAUAGAUUAGUAAUGACAAAUCCUAGACCGAGCAACAUGCAGAGCCAUCACAAAAGUGAGAACACACAACUUCUAGGUGGCACAAACGAAGCAAAUUACAACAAAGCCAAUAAGAAAACCACCGACGGCUCAUCACCACUACAAAAAACAGGGCAGCUCCUUCUGAUCAACAACAACGUCACCGUACCCUCGAACGAUCUGCAGUACCUCAACCUGAGUAAGGAGACCCGCUGCAACUGCAACCAUGGAAGGCUUAUUGGCCACAGAUCAAGCUAUAGGUCCGCAAUAGUUCCACACCACCGCCGAAUCAAGACGGAUCGAAUUUGCCUUGCAAUUGAGCAUACGAGGUGGCUCAACCAAAACGGCCAAGGAGUGCCCAGCCACCACGGAAACCAACACAAGAAGUUGGCUUGUAAAGGGUUUGUAGGAGUGAAUCUAACUGGCAUGCAUAAGAUAAAAUUCAAGUAGAUUAACAUGCAUGUAAACAAAAAGGGCGGAAGCAAACUAAAGCGCUACAAAACCCUCUUCAAGAUCUUGGUCCUAUGGUUGGUAUAUUCAUUUACUUUAAUAUUAAAUGGCAGAUUAUAAGUUAUACCUUUGCA